UACAGAGGGGGCAAGCGUUGUUCGGAAUUACUGGGCGUAAAGGGCGCGUAGGCGGCCCGCUAAGUCGAACGUGAAAUCCCCCGAGCUCAACUCGGGAACUGCGUCCGAUACUGGCGGGCUUGAAUCCGGGAGAGGGAUGCGGAAUUCCAGGUGUAGCGGUGAAAUGACGUAGAUAUCUGGAGGAACACCGGUGGCGAAGGCGGCAUCCUGGACCGGCAUUGACGCUGAGGCGCGAAAGCUAGGGGAGCAAACGGG
rnacentral:rRNA from 1 species